rnacentral:rRNA from 1 species
AGCAGCCGCGGUAAUUCCAGCUCCAAUAGCGUAUAUUAAAGUUGCUGCAGUUAAAAAGCUCGUAGUUGAAUUUCGGGACUAAUAUGUCGGUCGUGCCUCGGUACGUACUGGUAUUUUGGUUUCUCCCUUCUGACGAACCUUGAUGUCAUUAAUUUGGUGUCUUGGGAAAUCAGGACUGUUACUUUGAAAAAAUUUAGAGUGUUUAAAGCAGGCUCACGCUUGAAUACAUUAGCAUGGAAUAAUGAAAUAGGACGUUUGAUUCUAUUUUGUUGGUUUCUAGGAUUGACGUAAUGAUUAAUAGGGAUAGUUGGGGGCAUUAGUAUUCAAUUGUCAGAGGUGAAAUUCUUGGAUUUAUUGAAGACUAACUACUGCGAAAGCAUUUGCCAAGGAUGUUUUCAUUAAUCAAGAACGAAAGUUAGGGGAUCGAAGACGAUCAGAUACCGUCGUAGUCUUAACCAUAAACUAUGCCGACUAGGGAUCGGAUGAUGUUAAUUUUUUCAAUGACUCAUUCGGCGCCUUA